rnacentral:tRNA from 1 species
AUUUAUAUAGUUUAUCUAAAACAUUACAUUUUCACUGUAAAAAUAUAGGCCUUUAUUAUUAUAAAUA